rnacentral:rRNA from 1 species
UACAGAGGUCUCAAGCGUUGUUCGGAUUCAUUGGGCGUAAAGGGUGCGUAGGUGGCGCUGUAAGUCGGGUGUGAAAUUUCGGAGCUUAACUCCGAAACUGCAUUCGAUACUGGCGUGCUUGAGGACUGGAGAGGAGACUGGAAUUCAUGGUGUAGCAGUGAAAUGCGUAGAGAUCAUGAGGAAGACCAGUGGCGAAGGCGGGUCUCUGGACAGUUCCUGACACUGAGACACGAAGGCCAGGGGAGCAAAACGGG